rnacentral:rRNA from 1 species
GACGAACCGAGCGAGCGUUGUUCGGAAUCACUGGGCCUAAAGGGCGCGUAGGCGGGCCGUCAAGUCAGGGGUGAAAUCCUCCAGCUUAACUGGAGAACUGCCUUUGAUACUGACGGCCUCGAGUGAGGUAGGGGCGUGCGGAACUGAUGGUGGAGCGGUGAAAUGUGUUGAUAUCAUCAGGAACUCCGGUGGCGAAAGCGGCACGCUGGACCUUUACUGACGCUGAGGCGCGAAAGCCAGGGGAGCGAACGGG